rnacentral:rRNA from 1 species
AUUGAACGCUGGCGGCAUGCCUAACACAUGCAAGUCGAACGAGUGGCGGACGGGUGAGUCAUGUCUGGGACCCUGCCUGAUGGAGGGGGAUAACUACUGGAAACGGUAGUUAAUACCGCAUACCAGCCGAUGUGCCCAGAUGGGAUUAUCUUGUUGGUGGGUUAACGGCUAACCAAGGCGACGAUCCAUAGCGGAUCUGAGAGGAUGACCAGCCACACUGGAACUGAGACACGGUCCAGACUCCUACGGGAGGCAGCAGUGGGGAAUAUUGCACAAUGGGCGCAAGCCUGACGCAGCCAUGCCGCGUGUAUGAUGAAGGCCUUCGGGUUGUAAAGUACUUUCAGCAGGGAAGCGUUACCCGCACAAGAAGCCCCGGCUAACUCCGUGCCAGCAGCCGCGGUAAUUC